CUGCGACUGGUCCUGCUACACUAGUA
rnacentral:piRNA from 1 species